AUUGAACGCUGGCGGCAGGCUUAACACAUGCAAGUCGAGCGAGAGGCGGACGGGUGAGUAAUGUCUGGGAAACUGCCUGAUGGAGGGGGAUAACUACUGGAAACGGUAGCUAAUAACGAAUACCAUCAGCUGUGCCCAGAUGGGAUUAGGUAGUAGGUGGGGUAAUGGCUCACCUAGACGACGAUCCCUAGCUGGUUUGAGAGGAUGACCAGCCACCCUGGAACUGAGAGACGGUCCAGACUCCUACGGGAGGCAGCAGUGGGGAAUAUUGCACAAGGGGCGCAAGCCUGAUGCAGCCAUGCCGCGUGUGUGAAGAAGGUCUUCGGUGUGUAAAGCACUUUCAGCGAGGAGGCGUUACUAGCAGAAGAAGCACCGGCUAACUCCGUGCCAGCAGCCGCGGUAAUUC
rnacentral:rRNA from 1 species